UACGUAGGGGCCUAGCGUUGUCCGGAAUUAUUGGGCGUAAAGAGCUCGUAGGCGGUUCGGCAAGUCGGAUGUGAAAUCUCCACGCUCAACGUGGAGGGGCCAUUCGAAACUGCCGUGACUCGAGUCCGGUAGGGGAGUGUGGAAUUCCCAGUGUAGCGGUGAAAUGCGUAGAUAUUGGGAGGAACACCAGUGGCGAAGGCGGCUCACUGGACCGGUACUGACGCUGAUGCGCGAAAGCGUGGGGAGCAAACAGG
rnacentral:rRNA from 1 species